rnacentral:misc_RNA from 1 species
GAUGAAGAACGCAGCGAAAUGCGAUAACUAGUGUGAAUUGCAGAAUUCAGUGAACCAUCGAGUCUUUGAACGCACAUUGCGGCCGCCGGUAUUCCAGCGGCCACGCCUGUCCGAGCGCCACACGCCACCCUCAGGCCCCCGUGCCUGGCGUUGGGGGGCCCCUGGAGCAAUCCCAGGGCCCGCCGAAACACAGUGGCGGCGACGCUAACGGUGCGACGCGAGUAGUAGCAACACUCUCGCGGGCCCGUAGCGCUGCCCGCCGGCGCGCAAGCAGCCACUCCUCUCACAAGGUUGGCCUCGGAUCAGGCGGGAGUACCCGCUGAACUUAAGCAUAUCAAUAAGCGGAGGA